GGCUCAGGAUGAACGCUAGCGGCAGGCUUAACACAUGCAAGUCGAGGGGUAUAGUUCUUCGGAACUAGAGACCGGCGCACGGGUGCGUAACGCGUAUGCAAUCUACCUUUUACAGAGGGAUAGCCCAGAGAAAUUCGGAUUAAUGCCCCAUAUGCCCGUAGAAUCGCCUGAUUCAGCGGGGAAAGUUCCGACGGUAAAAGAUGAGCAUGCGUCCCAUUAGCUAGAUGGUAAGGUAACGGCUUACCAUGGCGACGAUGGGUAGGGGUCCUGAGAGGGAGAUCCCCCACACUGGUACUGAGACACGGACCAGACUCCUACGGGAGGCAGCAGUGAGGAAUAUUGGACAAUGGGCGCAAGCCUGAUCCAGCCAUGCCGCGUGCAGGAUGACGGUCCUAUGGAUUGUAAACUGCUUUUGUACAGGAAGAAACACUCCCUCGUGAGGGAGCUUGACGGUACUGUAAGAAUAAGGAUCGGCUAACUCCGUG
rnacentral:rRNA from 1 species